GACGAACGCUGGCGGCGUGCUUAACACAUGCAAGUCGAACGGAAAGGCCCUGCUUUUGUGGGGUGCUCGAGUGGCGAACGGGUGAGUAACACGUGAGUAACCUGGCCUUGACUUUGUGAUAACUUCAGGAAACUGGGGCUAAUACCGGAUAGGAGCUCCUGCUGCAUGGUGGGGGUUGGAAAGUUUCGGUGGUUGGGGAUGGACUGGCGGCUUAUCAGCUUGUUGGUGGGGUAGUGGCUUACCAAGGCGUUGACGGGUAGCCGGCCUGGGAGGGUGACCGGCCACAUUGGGACUGAGAUACGGCCCAGACGCCUACGUGAGGCAGCAGUGGGGAAUAUUGCACAAUGGGCGGAAGCCUGAUGCAGCAGCGCCGCGUGCGGGAUGACGGCCUUCGGGUUGUAAACCGCUUUCGCCUGUGACGAAGCGUGAGUGACGGUAAUGGGUAAAGAAGCACCGGCUAACUACGUG
rnacentral:rRNA from 1 species